rnacentral:rRNA from 1 species
UACGGAGGGUGCAAGCGUUAUCCGGAUUUACUGGGUUUAAAGGGUGCGUAGGUGGAUUUGUAAGUCAGUGGUGAAAUCUCCGAGCUUAACUCGGAAACUGCCAUUGAUACUAUAGAUCUUGAAUCAUCUGGAGGUAAGCGGAAUAUGUCAUGUAGCGGUGAAAUGCUUAGAUAUGACAUAGAACACCAAUUGCGAAGGCAGCUUGCUAGCCUGUAACUGACGCUGAGGCACGAAAGUGUGGGGAUCAAACAGG